rnacentral:rRNA from 1 species
AUCCAAAACGACUCUCGGCAACGGAUAUCUCGGCUCUUGCAUCGAUGAAGAACGUAGCGAAAUGCGAUACUUGGUGUGAAUUGCAGAAUCCCGUGAACCAUCGAGUCUUUGAACGCAAGUUGCGCCCGAAGCCAUUAGGUCGAGGGCACGCCUGCCUGGGCGUCACACA